rnacentral:lncRNA from 1 species
UGGGUCACGAAAACGCCGAAACUUACUUAAAAUCUUUUCCUGCACGGCCAUCUGACGAGCACGGUCGUCUCUCCACCUCUCUAGCUCGGCUCGCUGAAAGGCCUCAAACUGUUGCGACCUGACAUACUCCUCACGCCCACACUCAUCUUUGGCGUAUGCCUCAAAUACUUGGUGUUGUGCAAACUAUUCCCGAGCGUACGCUCUCGCAUGCCGCCUGUUGCACUAAACGAACCGUCAUAACAUCAGAGCGCACGACCGUGAGCUAGGCACCCUGCUUCUAAAUAGAUGGGAAGCUUUUGCAUGUUUGAAAUGCUGUAACACAACUAAUCUCGCCCCAACUCCAAAAAAAAUAAUAAAAAAUUAAAAAUAAAUAAACCUUGUAGGUUAGCUAAUAAUAAGUUCAUAAAUUCAAAGUCAUGGUAUAUACCUUUUCAAAAUUUUAUUUUUUUGAAAUAAAAAUUAAGUAUUCAUAGUAUUAUAAUAAAUUGUAUUUGUAUACAAAAUAUUAUUAAAAUAAUAUAUAUAAGAGUGGGACAUAGUGACACACAUAAAAUUGUGAACACCCUAGAUCUCUUCCCUUCAUACACAAACACAGCGCCAGAGGCAGAAUUUUUCGUUGGGUAGGACUCAACUUGUACGGGGCUCGGGGGCUGUAGCCCUGAGCCAAACUUUUUUGGGCAUUUAGCACAAUUUGCUUUUUUUUUUCUUACUUAAAAAGUAGUAAUAAUAAUAAUAAAUAAAUAUUUUUAGGGUUGAAUGCAUGUAAUAUCAUAAACUUAAAGCGAAUUCGAAAUUUAGCAUGACUUUUAAAAGUUUCAAUUAAUAUGACUAACUUUGCUCCGUGUUCAAUUUUAGCACCGAUUUAUUUUCCGGCAAAACCACGUGGCAAUGACGUGUCUUCUGGCGGACACGUCAUAAUUUUGUUCUCUAGCGAGAGAGAGAAAGAGAAAGACGAGAGUGUCUGGCGGUGAAUGGCCGUCGUUGUCUGGCGGCGGCGCUCAUCUCGUCUCCUCCAUAGAGGCGGCAAAUCUAAGAAAACCCAUAGAUCUAGAUAUUAAAAUCAUCCGCUGACAUCGCCAAAAAUCAAAGAAGAGUUGGUGGGUGGUGCUGUCGGUGGGUUUUUUUGGGAGGGAAGGUGGAGGCAGCGCGGUGGAGGAGGCGACGCGAAGGUGGAGACGACGCAAUGGAGGAGGUGAGGGUGGAGGCAGCACAGGGAAGUUGCUCGUCUCGUCUUGAAUUGGGGGUAGGGUUUGCAGAGGCGGUGAGUUUGGGGAGUUAGGGCUUCGAUUGAGGUUGUGUCAUCGCCGGAGGUCGCGAAAGAGGAAGUCACCGACGCGAGCUGUGCGUCGUGCUUGGUAUGGGUGCGCGAGUUUUAGUUUCAAAGAGAGGGCAAGAGUUGACCGACAAUGUUACAGUUGCCAGAAUCGAAUGAGAGAAAUGCAAGCGGCAGCGGCGGCGGAGAAGGGGCACCGGGAAGAGGAAGGUGUGUUGGAGAAGGAGAGGCGCUCGCUGAGGCAGGAGGGGCAAAAUCCGAUGAGCAAAACGCAACGUUUUGCUUGCCAGCCGGAAACUUGUGCCGGCAAGCCACGUCAAUAACACGUAGGAUCGAAGCGUGUGUCGGCAAGCCACAUAAAAAAAAGUGCUAAAAUUGAACACGUAGCAAAGUUAGUUUUAUUAAUUGAAACUUUUAAAAGUCGUGCUAAAUUUGGAAUUCGCCUUAAGUUCAUGAUAUUACAUGCAUUUAAUCCAUAAUUUUAUAGAUCAAAUAAUUUCAAUAAAUUUUAAAUAACUUAAGAAUAUAUAUUUUGAUGAGCUAAAAUUUUCAUACGUUGAGGUAAAAUUUUGAAAAAUUCAAGUAUAUAUAAUAUUUUGUAACACUUUAACUUCGCAGUGAUAAUAUUUUGUGCACAAAUUUAAACAAUUAUACGCCAUUUUUCUUAUUUUAAUUAUAUUGAUAUUGAUAGAUGCUAAGAUAUGUUUUAAUUAAUUAGAUUUUAAUUAUAUUGAUAUUAAGAUAGAUUUUAAUUUAAACUAAUGAUAAAUUAUAAUUAAAAUUAAUAUUAAAAUAGAUAAUUAAGAUUUUUAUUUUAGCACCAGUAAGCUAAGUGUGUGAUUUACUUAGCACCAGUAAGCUAAGCAAGGGAAGUCCAACCCAGUGUGUCGGCACUAAAAAGAGUUUUUCAGUAGAGGGUUUGAUGUGCACCCGUAAGCACAAGCCUAGUCAAUUUUCAAUAUGAUCAACUGACCGUGGAAGUAAGAAUCAAUAUUCUGAACCACGUAAAAACCCUGCGUUCUUUACUGCUUUCAGUUUUCCAAUUCAUACAUGUGCACUAAUUUUGCUAUAUACUGAAUAUUGAUAAUCUAAAGGACAAAUCUUAAAAACUGGCAGUAUGUUUCACUAAAGGCUAUUUCAAAAUCGCUUCCGCUUAAGUAUGAUCGGUCUAAUUGACAAAUUUGAAGACAGUCAGUAAAAUUUCUAACACUACUUUGAUGUCAAAAUUGAAAAGGUUGAACCCUUAUUUGAAACUUCAGUUUGUUGACUAGUUCUUCACACUGAAGUUAACUGACUGACUCAUUAUCAGUCUCAGUUUUGAACCUUCUCUUAAACUGAUCUUUUAUUCAUUGUUCACAUUAGUUUCAGUUUUGCAAAAAUAGCCUAUUGGUGUAUUCCCUCCCUCCAUAUACCAGUUCACUACCCCACCGGAACCCAACAAAUAUGAUUAUACAACAUAUUCAUGUAUUAACCAACAUCGGAAAUCAUAAACAUUUCUCAAGACACAUAUUUUUUUACCUUCAUUUCUGGUGUUACCAGGUUUUGCAAUAGCUACGAUUUACCCGCUCCUAUGCGGCUACAUCUGCCUCAAUGUUGUUUGUCAAAGAAUGGACUACGGUUUAUCCGCUCCUAUACAUGUCAAUUUUUGUAAUAAUAGAAGAUUCAUUAUAAAUUUUUGCAAUAAUAAUGAAUUUGCCUGCCUUUCUCCGGGGCCCGGGCGACAACUGCCCCAUCAUUGACUGCUAAAUGAUGGAAUACAAUCGUGAGUUUCCAAAAUAUUAUGAACUCACCAUACCUGACAAAUAACAAUAACAUAUAAUUAACUACAAUGAUUCUAUCAACACGUACAUUAGGGAUCUUAAUUCACACUACAAAUAACAAAUGCAUAGCACUUCAUACUUCAUAGUACCGCACUGAACACAAUCAAAAGAAAAUUUAACACUGACAAUGAUUUGCAGUCAAACACACAUUAACUAAAACUAAUUUUUAAAAUGAUAAAAUUUUAAAAACAUAUAUCAACCGAAAUAUGGGAAAAAUUCAUCGCAAGUCUUACCCGGUGGGUUUGAUUUUGUCCACACCAUUGGUAUCGCCAGAUGAACCGAAUCGAUGACGAAAACAACACGGAAAUUAGAAGAAAUUGAGAGUUCAACUCGUUGGGCGACCGUAGCUUUUUUCCGAAGAAUGACAAAUGAGUGUUUUAGUUCAUAGGUUUUGAUAUAUUUUAGAAAUAGCAAUAAAUUGGAAUCUUAAUUCCCGUGUAUAUCUUUAAAAUGAUUUGGUUCAAAUUUCACUACAAUUCAUUAAUUCUUUACAGCCGUGACUUGCGUGUUGAAUCUUAUUCUCAAUCCUUUCAAAUCUUUAUUUUAUAAUUAAUAGGCAUCCAAAUCGGAAUCGUAUAAUUGGAGUAAUAGAAAGUCAAACGUCAUCCUAUAUAAUGAACAACAUAUUACCAUUAAAAUUUAGGAAAAUGCUAAAUACACAUAAUAUGUGCGUACAUAAUUGAAUAUUUUUGUCAUUUUUCAAUAUUUAAAUAUUGAGUAACUAAUUCAUUUUAAUUGAAGUUUACAUUUUACAUAGUUACCCUUUACAGUAAUUAAGGAAAUAAUAUUGAGUUUAUACUCUUUCCUUAGUACUAUUAAAAGAUUUUAUUUCUAUAAAUUAAUAUAACUAACGUUGAUUAUAAAAUUAUAUGUAUUACAUGUCACACCCCAAUUCUUGAAUGAAUAAAUAUAAUCGAGGUGCGACUAAUAUCAUAUAAAUAAACAAGGAACAACCUUGUUAAAACCCGAAUAAAAUAACAAGUCGGGCCAGUCCCCUUUGGAUCACAAGUUUAGUGUCAUGCUUCUGAUAACCAACAUUUAGAAUGAAAUACUUGUGAAAUAAUAGUCUCGGCUCAACAAAAUAUAUAUAAAAGUUGAGAGUCUAAGCUCGAUAAGAAACAUAAUUCAGAAUUUACAUAUAGGUCUUAAGUCAGAGAAACAAAAGACAAAAGAGCUAGUGCAACAGCGGAAGACAAAAAUACGGAGUUGAACCCUAGCCUCAGCUCGCUCCGUCAGCACCGACCAAUCAACCUGAAAACAUUUGAAAGUAAUUUUGGGCUAAGUACUAAUGUACUUAGUGGGCUAGCAUUUUUAUAAACAUUUCAUAAUCAUAAGAGCAGUUUAUCCAAUUAUACAUGACAUGACUUAGAAGAUUUUAAAUUGAAAUAACUUCUAAGCAUGUUAAAACAUUUAAUUAUAUUGCGCGCAAUUGUCACACUCCCGUUCCGUUACUCGCUUCUGAUCCCGGACCUUUUAGCCACCGACGGAUCCAUUUCUCCUUCAUACUUGAACUGAGGGCGUAACCCAGUCAAGUUCCCAUUUGGGACCCAAUGCUCCGGAACACAUCCCGUCGAGCACCCUUAUAACGCCUCAUACAUGAUUAGUGCCCGAAUGGAGAUCAACCCACCGAGUCAGCUAAUAGGUGUACACAAUUCUCAAAUAACGUGUUAGGUCAAGAGAGAACCUCGAUCGAUUCAUUGUUGCGAGCCUUAAACAGAGCAGAGUGCACAAAAUAUUUUAUCGGAUAAACAGUUUUCAUUUCAUUGAAACAUUUAAGCUCAAUAGCUAAAUCAUACAUUUGAAAAAUAAGCCCACCUGAUUAGGCAAUGCCUGUCGUUUAAUCUUAACUCUGAAUCGGAAUAGCAGUGCUAGUCCUCACAGUCUACAAAGCCUACAAGAAAUCUAUAAUCUUAAUAGGUCUCCUGAAUCUAAACCAAGUCACGGUAAAGUGCUUAACAUUCUAUGAUUCACUUAGCCGGGUUUUCAAAAUUUAAUGAAUAAAUAUUUGAAAACAAUUCUCUUGAGUCAAGAACACCAACAAUAUUCUUACUCGUCUUUCUACUCGUAAUUGAAAUAAUGAAAACCAAUUAAAACAUGAUGCAAUGCAUGACUCCAGGAACUGAACACGAACAGCAGCCUAGUUCAUGCAAACUCUAACAUUUACACAUAACUCAACUGCCCUGUCAGAGAAAUCGCCUAGCCAGAGGAAACGACGCCAGACGAAUCGAUGCCAGAGGAAUCGACGCGAAAGGAAUCAACGCCAGAGGAAUCGACGCCAGAGGAAUCGAUGCCAGAGGAAUCACUCCAGAGGAAUCAACGCCAGAGGAAUCGACGCCAGAGGAAUCGACGCCAGAGCUGGAACGAACCCGCUGGAACGCCAGAGCUGGACUUCACGCACCAACUCAACAAAAACAACACUCAUGCUUCUUUCUCGAUCUAACACUCCUCAAAACCUUAAACUUAACUUAUCAUGCUCCUAAAACACAAACACAAGUUACAUCGAUUAACAAAAUCGAAGAACAAGUGACGACGACGAAGAACAUAGCCGGGCUGCCCUCUUGGGUUCCCUUGCUAUGGUUCGAACCAACCUUAACUCCUUCAUUAAACAUGCUCAACAUCUACCCAAGAACAACAUACUAAAAACUUACGACGAUCCGUCGUUGUUUCAAAAAUAAAGUCGAGAAUCGACGUUUUUUCGACGUCGACGAAAAUCGAAAAGAAAACCAUGGAAACGUAGGUAGAGAUGUUACCUACGUGAAAAACGUGAUCGAAAAGAUGAUCGGCGCUCGUCUCAGUGCUCAAAUCGGAGCUCAAAAGCUUGAAGAAGCUUUAAUGGAGGGAGUGUGUGUUCUUGGUGUUUGUGUGUGUAAGAGAAAAGGUGGUGAGUGAAUGGGAAGAGAAAGAUCGGAGUGCAGCAUAGGAGAUAUAUAUAUAUAUUGAAGAGAGAGAGAACAGUGAGGCGGUGGUGGUGGUCGAAAAUAUCAAGGAAAGUGGUGGGUUGGCUUGAGGAAUAUGAUGGGUUGGGCUUUCAUUUAUGCACUCAAAUGUGAAUAAAACAUAAGGCCCAACAUGAAAUAAAUCUCAACACACUUAAAAUGCUUGAAUGCUUAAUUAAAAAAAAUAUAUGCAAUGCAUAUAAAUUAAAUUACUAAUUUACAAAUGCUUUUGUAAAUCAUUUUUGUUGGAAAUAAAAUAAUUCUUUUUCUCAAUCCGGCGUGAAUCAUCUUAAAUCUAAGUUCAAAAAUACUUCUAAUCAUAAUAUAAAUGGGCGAGGUGUUACAUUACAAUAUAGUAAUGUUCAUCUUAUCUAUCCAUUCAACUAAUUAUGGAUUAUAAGCACUGCAAUAUAUACGCAUUACACAUUCAACUUAUGUGGUUUAUUAUUGUUUAUGUGAUUUAUUAUUUUCUCAUCUUGUUUUUUAUGUAGUUUAUUAUUUUUGUUAUUAAUUUAAUUAUUUUGUUUUCACUGUUAUUAAAAUCCCAAAAUAAUUUAAUAUUGUAACAUUUAUUUUAAUUUAGUUUAUGAUAUGCUUAAAUUUACUCAUUCAAUUAUAUGUGUACAAGUUAUUGUCAAUAUGAUACCUAAUCAUUGAUUAGAUUUGUCAUAAUGGCUAACAUUUACUAUAUCAAUUGAUUAAGAGACCAAAUCAAUUGAUUAAAUUAUAAAAUUAUAAUAUAUACAUUAUAAGAAAUUAUAAAUAUUGAAUUUAAAAUAAAAUAUAAAGAAAUGAAUAUAAUUGUGAGAAUAAUGUUGUACGUUGAGCACAUCGAUCAAUUACUUCUUACAAAUAUGUUAUAGUACUUUAUAUUAUAUGUUAUAGUAAAGUUGAAUUCCAAAUAACCGAAUAUCAAUAUGCAUAGAUAUAGAAUUAAGAAGAGUGACACACAUUGUUCGAUUAUUUAUAGUAAAAAAAAUAAAAAAAUAAUAAAUAGAAAUUUAAUAGUAGAAAAUUAAUUUGAACAAAUACAUCUAUGCAAUUUAAGUUCUGAAAAAAUAAAAAAUAUUUUAUAAAAUAAUUUGAAGACAAUUUAAAAUAAAAAAUUAUAAACUAAAAAACACUUAAAAAAAUUAAAUCAAUCAAUCAAUCUUAUAUUAUAGUUAUAUUUAAUCAUGUAUUAUUCUAAUCCUUUGUCACCUUGCCGAAUAGUGAUAUACACAACAUAUUGUUGAAUACUGUUGAAAUAAAAUUUUAUUGCCAAAAGAAUAAACGAAAAAGACCUUUGAGAGCACAGGCGCAAAUAAAGGAGGGAGCCGGGCCUCGUUAAAACCUUCUUAGGGAAAACCCGUGGGGGAGAAACCUUAAGAAGGAAAAAAGAGUACCCGUAGUAACAACGCAAAAAAAAACUAGCAAACGAGGGCGGAGUUGGGGCUUCUUCUCGGAGGCUCCGCCCUAACCAUCGCCCCUAAGAAACCUCGGCUCAAAAAACGAACCAAGAAAAGAAACGAGAGCGGAGUUGAAUGCAAUCAAUCUUAUAUAGUCAAAAUAAGUAUAACAAUAAAUUAAAAAAUACACACACACACACACACACACAUAUAUAUAUAUAUAUAAAUUACAAUAAUUCUGAAAAUAACGUCAUAUACAUUGACUACAUUCUUUGAUAAAUAUCAUAAAAUUAUAAUUUAUUAUUUAAAAUUUAGAAGAAAAAAACAAUGAAAUUGAAAUAAUAAAUUUUAAAGGGAAAUUGUGAGAAAUUAAAUAAAAAAAUAUAAAAUGUGAAGAAAUAGCUAAAAAUGAUUAGAAUAAUAUAAUACAUUAUUUACAUUCUUUGAUUAUUUCAUAGAAGUACAAGUUAAUGAAAACAUCAUAAUAAUUGUAAAACUAAAAUAAAAAUUAAAAAAUAUAAAUGAAUGACUAUAAUUGUGAGAAUAAUGUCAUACGUUGAGCACAUCGAUACCGAUUAAAAAUAUACUAUAGGACAACAUAUCAUAAUAAUUAGGGAACUUUAAAUAAAAAAUUAAAACAUAAAAAGAAAUUAAUGUCAUAUGCUGACACAUCGAUCAAUAACUAAAUGAAAUUAUGCAAUAGGACAUUAUAUUGUAAUACAUUAGCGAACUUGAAAUAUACAUUAAGAGUAUAAAAUAGUAAAGAAUAGCCAAAAUGUUUAGAAUAAUAUCAUAAGUUAACUACAUUUUUUGAUUAUUUCAUAAAAAUAUAGGUUAAUGAAUAAACCAUAACAAAUUAGUGAAAUUGAAAUAAAACUUAUAAAACAUAAAUGUAUGACUAUAAUUGUAGGAAUAAUGUACGUUGAGCACAUCGAUUAAUAACUUAAGAAAAAUAUAUUAUACGAUAUUAUAUUAUAAUAAUUUAGCAAACUCGAAAUAAAAAAUAAAAAAAUGACCAUAAUUAUGAUAAUAAUAUCAUACGUUGAGCACAUCGAUUAGUUAUUCAAUUAAAUUAUAUUAUAAAUAAAUUUAACGAACUCAAAAUUUAAAAUAAAAAAGAAUUGCUAUGAUUGUGAAAAUAAAAAGAUAAAAAUAUCGAAAAGAAAAAAUAAAAGUAUCUAUCACUAAUUGAAUACCCUUGAAAAAUAAAAAUAUCGAAAAGAAUUGCUAUGAUUGUGAAUAUGUGAUUAGUGGCUACGUCCAUAAUUGGCUUUCAAAAAUUAUUGAAGUAAAAAAAGGAAAUAAAAUCUUUAGAACUUUCCAANUAGGGUUUGCAGAGGCGGUGAGUUUGGGGAGUUAAGGCUCCGAUUGAGGUUGUGUCGUCGUCGGAGGUCACGAAAGGGGAAGUCGCCGACGCGAGCUGUGCGUCAUGCUUGGCAUGGGUGUGCGAGUUUUAGUUUCAGAGAGAGGGCAAGACUUGACCGACAACGUUACAGUCGCCAGAAUCGAAUGAGAGAAAUGCAAGCGGCAGCGGCAGCGGAGGAGGGGCGCUGGGAAGAUGAAGGUGUGUUGGAGGAGGAGAGGCGCUCGCAGAGGCAGGAGGGGCAGAAUCCGGUGAGCAAAACGCAACGUUUUGCUCGCCAGCCGGAAACUUGUACCGACAAGCCACGUCAAUGACACAUAGGAUCGAAGCCUGUGCCGACAAGCCACGUAAAAAAAACGGUGCUAAAAUUGAACACGUAGCAAAGUUAGUUAUAUUAAUUGAAACUUUUAAAAGUCGUGCUAAAUUUGGAAUUCGCCUUAAGUUCAUGACAUUACAUGCUUUUAACCCAUAAUUUUUAUAGAUCAAAUAAUUUCAAUACAUUAUAAAUAACUUAAGAAUAUAUAUUUUUACGAGCUAAAAGUUUGAAAAAGUUUGAAAAAUAUUAUAAAUACGUUGAGGUAAAAUUUUGAAAAAUUCAAGUAUAUAUAAUAUUUUGUAACACUUUAACUUCCCAGUGAUAAUAUUUUGUGCACAAAUUUAAACAAUUGUACGCCAUUUUUUUUUAUUUUAAUUAUAUUGAUAUUGAUAGAUGCUAAGAUAUGUUUUAAUUAAUUAGAUUUAAUUAUAUUGAUAUUAAGAUAGAUUUUAAUUUAAACUAAUAAUAAAUUUUAAUUAAAAUUGAUAUUAAGAUAGAUAAUUAAGAUUUUUAUUUUAGUACCAGUAAGCUAAGCGUGUGGUUUACUUAGCACCAGCAAGCUAAGCAAGGGAAGUCCAACCCAGUAUGUUGGCACUAAAAAGAGUUUUUUAGUAGAAGGUUUGAUGUGCACCCAUAAUCACAAACCUAAUCAAUUUUCAGUGUGAUCAACUGAUCGUGGAAGUAGGAAUCAAUAUUCCGAACCACGUAAAAACCCUGCGUUCUUUACUGCUUUCAAUUUUUCAAUUCAUAUAUGUGCACUAAUUUUGCUAUAUACUGAAUAUUGAUAAUCUAAAUGACAAACCUUAAAAACCGACACUCUGUUUCACUAAAGGCUAUUUCAAAAACACUGCUUUGAUUUCAAAACUGAAAAGACUGAACCCUUAUUUGAACUUCAGUUUGUCGACUAGUUCUUCAUACUGAAGUUAACUGACUGACUCAUUAUCAGUUUCAGCCUUGAACCUUUUCUUAAACUGAUAUUUCAUUCACUGCUCACAUCAGUUUCAGUUUUGCAAAAAUAGCCUACUGGUGUAUUCCCCCUCCAUGUACCAAUUCAGUACCCCACCGAGACCCAACAAAUAUGAUUAUACAACAUAUUCAUGUAUUAACCAACAUCGGAAAUCAUAAACAUUUCUCAAGACACAUAUUUUUUUACCUUCAUUUCUGGUGUUACCAGGUUCUCCAAUAGCUACGAUUUACUUGCUCCUCUACGGCUACAUCUGCCUCGAGGCUCGACGUUGUUUGUCAAAGAAUGGACUAAACAUUUCAAUUUUUGUAAUAACAGAAGAUUCAUUAUAAAUUUUUGCAAUAAUUAUGAAUUUGCCUGCCUUUCUCCGGGGCCCGGGCGACAACUGCCCCAUCAUUGACUGCUAAAAGAUGGUAUACAAUCGUGAGUUUCCAAAAUAAUAUGAACUCACCAUACCUGACAAAUAACAAAUACUCCCUCCGUCCACGAAAGAAAUUCUCAUCUUUCCUUUUUGGGAUGUCCACAAAAGAACUUCCUACCUAUUUUUGGACUAUACCCCACCACUUAUAUUCCUCUUACUUUUUACUUUUCACAACUCCCAAUAUUAAUUAUAACACCUUUUCAUCACUCCCAAUACACUCAAUUACAUUUUAUCCACUCUCAAUACACUCAACAAUAUUUUUUCUUAAAACCCGUGUCACUCCCUCCUAGGAAGUUCCUUCAUGGACGGAGGGAGUAACAUAUAACAUAUACUCCCUCCGUCCCACUGAAAGUGGUGCGUAUUCUUUUUUGGGCUGUCCCAUCGAAAGUGGUACAUUUUCUUUUUGGUAAUAAUUUUACACUACAAACAAUGUGGCCUCACAUACAUUUACACACCUUUACACUACAAUCUUAUUCUCCUUAAAUUCCGUGCCCAAAAUAAGUGCACCACUUUCGGUGGGACGAAGGGAGUAAUAAACUACAAUGAUUCUACCAACACGUACAUUAAGGAUCUUAAUUCACACUACAAAUAACAAAUGCAUUACACUUCAUAGUACCGCACUGAACACAUCAAAAGAAAAUUUAACACUGACAAUGAUUUGCAGUCAAACACACAUGAACUAAAACUAAUUUUUAAAAUCAUAAAAUUUUAAAAACAUAUAUCAACCGAAAUAUGGGAAAAAUUCAUCGCAACUCUUACCUGGUGGGUUUGAUUUUGUCCACACCAUUGGUAUCGCAAGAUGAACCGAAUCGAUGACGAAAACAACACGGAAAUUGGAAUAAAUUGAGAGUUCGUUCGGCGACCGUAGCUUUUUUUCCGAAGAAUGACAAAUGAGUGUUUUAGUUCAUAGGUUUUGAUAUAUU